rnacentral:rRNA from 1 species
GUGGGGAAUCUUGCGCAAUGGGCGAAAGCCUGACGCAGCCAUGCCGCGUGAAUGAUGAAGGUCUUAGGAUUGUAAAAUUCUUUCACCGGGGACGAUAAUGACGGUACCCGGAGAAGAAGCUCCGGCUAACUUCGUGCCAGCAGCCGCGGUAAUACGAAGGGGGCUAGCGUUGCUCGGAAUUACUGGGCGUAAAGGGCUCGUAGGCGGACAGCUUAGUCAGAGGUGAAAGCCCAGGGCUCAACCUUGGAAUUGCCUUUGAUACUGGCUGUCUUGAGUUUGGGAGAGGUGAGUGGAACUCCGAGUGUAGAGGUGAAAUUCGUAGAUAUUCGGAAGAACACCAGUGGCGAAGGCGACUCACUGGCCCAAUACUGACGCUGAGGCGCGAAAGCGUGGGGAGCAAACAGGAUUAGAUACCCUUGUAGUCC